AUGGCCUGUGUUGUUGUUCCGUUGAAUUUUAAUGCGUUCCUUGAGAAAACAAAGUUGAAAGAUGAUGGUAGCAAUUAUACGGACUGGGUCCGUAACUUGAGGAUUAUCCUCAUUGCUGCAUACAAGGAUUACGUCCUGGAAGCACUGCUGGGUGCCAGGCCUGCUGCAGGAGCAACACCAGAUGUUGUGAACGUCUGGCAGAGCAAAGCUGAUGACUACUCGAUAGUUCAGUGUGCCAUGCUUUACGGCUUAGAACCGGGACUUCAACGACAUUUUGAACGUCAUCGAGCAUAUGAGAUGUUCCAAGAGUUGAAGUUAAUAUUUCAAGCAAAUGCCCGGAUUGAGUGA
rnacentral:rRNA from 1 species